CCCGCGACCCUGUCUUCUAUCUUAUCCCUUUUCCAGCACGGCGGGGCGGCGGUGGGCUCGCGGGAGACGGCGCUCGGGGAGGCGGCGGUGCGCUCGGGCGCCGCAUCAGGCGGCGGCAGCGAGGUGGGGAGGCGGCGCUGCGCUCCAGGGAUGCAGCAGCGAGGCGUCGAGGCGGCGGUGCCCUCGGGCGCCGCAUCAGGCGGCGACAUCGAAGCGGGGAGGCGGCGCUGCGCUCCGAGGAUGCAGCAGCGAGGCGUCGAGGCGUCGAGGCGGACCUGUGCUCGGGCUCCGCAUCAGGCGGCGGCAGCGAGGCAGGAGGCGCACGGGGAGAUGAAGGAGGAGAAAAUGGAGAGUCGGCCAGGGCACGGACCACAGCGGCGCAAGCUUGCAGGGGGCGAUGGAGGGAGGCGGCGCUGCGCUCGGGCGCCGCAUGCCUCCUCUGCGUCUCCUUUCUUUCUUCCACAACUUCUUCUCUCUUGCACGUCACCGUCUUGCUGGCCACGCAGUAAAGAGAUCGAGGAAGAGGCGGGAGUCGGGUCAAUCGAUCUGUCGCACGACAGAUGCGGCACUCCCUGUUCCAUCUAGCAACGGGCAGCAGAGGGAGGUGGAAGAGGAGCCACGACCUCGGAGCAGGAUGCUGCCGCCUAACACGCAUCUGACCAUGAGCUGGAGGAUAAGUACAAAUACUUGCACCGAACUGUAUGAUUUGUUGGCCCAAGUGUUGAGUCUGAGAUGGCAUCUUUAUGCUUUCAGAGAAGCGCAUCUCUGAAAUUCACAGUUUUAAACCCAAAGAGAUACAUCUAGACAAUGCUCGCAUGAGUGGUUCCAGUGUCAUAUACGCCAACAUGGCAGUUGGAGAUUUGGGAUCGGAUGCUGCUCCAAGAACGAGGGACCAAGGUGCUGAACUAACAGCAGGGGGAGGAUGAUUCUUCAGGUAACAACAUAGCCCGUCGACUAGAGAAUUAAGUUAACUGUUUGCUUUACUUGAAGCUCCAAAUUGUAGUAAUUUUAUUCGUUCACUAAUUUGGUAUAAUCUUAAUCUAGGAGGAUUAGCACUGUAUGAUAUGAGAUACUGACGUUUAGCAAUGAUAAAAGUCUGAUGUUGAAUGGUUCUUUUCGGAGUACAGUUGUAAGAUCUAUGAUUCUAGCUUCGACCUUUAACUGGACAGUACUAAUUGGACAUAUAAUUGAUGAUUUAUGCACAGCAAGAUAUUCUGUUGUUUUUAGUUCUUCAAUCAGAUUCAUCUAGCCCUUUGUUGACUUUCUAAUUGUUACCCUCUACCUCUGAAACUCAGAAAUCAGAGAAAGGUCAUUGGCAAUUUGGCAUAUCCCUGUCACUGGCGAAGAUUUGCUAGAGAGGAAGAGCACCAGAUUUUUUUUCUAUUGUUGGGGGCAUACAUAAUACAUAUAGAUAAAUUUGGACCAUUUUUAACAGAGAGAUUUCUUGCCAAAAAUAUUAACUCUGUCCAGCAGUGGGCAUUGUCAAGGUAAUAAAAGGAAUUUGCUGAACCUAAUUGAAUGAAAGAGGGAUGGCUAAUCCGAUUGAGAACCUUCUGUAACUGAAUAGACUUACGAACGAUCAACAAUACUAAAUAGUUCCAAAUUAACAGACAUUGCUUGAUUAAAAUACUGAUUUAAGAAUUUGGCGAAUCUAUAAUUCUCUACAUAAUCACUUAGUGUAUUUUUGAUCACCGGGUUAUCCUAGACCACUUGGGGACAGUAUCAUCAAUUUCUUGCAUACUGCAAUGCAAGUUUUAAAAGCCAAUUUCUUAUGUUUCUUAUUAUCUUUAUGUUCACCUAACUGCCAAGAAUCAUAAAAGGAUGCACCUAAGGAGGUAGAUUUUGUUUUAUGCAUAUUUUAAGUGUACGUAUGCUGCAACUGAUUAACAAAACAUUGUUCAACCUUCUAUGAGUCUGCCUAGGGAGCUGCACAGAUUUGGAACAACUUCCAGAACAAGCACCAAGCAUUUUGGUCAGGUACCACUAAGCUGCCAGAGCAAGAUAGCUGGGAUGUCAAGUCCCUAGGGCAAUGGUAAAUCUCAAAUUGCCUGAUGUUCGAUGGGAAGCAUCAGACAAUACCAAUGUCCAGUAGUAAGAUCUGAUUGUGCAGGUGGUCAAGCCAAGAUAAGUGUGCGUGCAUCACCGUUUAGUCGAGAUUUAGAAAAAGAUGAUGUCUGCUAUGAUAGUUUCCAGAAUAGUUUGGCCCUUGAGACACUUCCACUGUAUGCAUGUGUGUUCCUUUUUUCCAGAGAUAUGCAUGUCUAUUGAUUAUUAUUGGAAUUGGUUCAACAAACAGUGUAUAUGUGACAAAAUUACUAAUAUACUGACCGAGCCUGAUAAUCUGACUAAUCCAUACAGUGGAUAUGCACCAAUGCUCAAAUUUUAAAAAUGAAGGAUUCAACUUUUUUUGGAUUAUUAUUAUUUGUGAAGUCGUGAGUAUGCCUAGCAACCGUAAAAAAUAUAUAGUUCGACUUAGUGGUAGGUUCUGCAGUAGUCUUGCCUUGAAGGUUUCGUCAUAGUAAAAAUUGAUAUGUCUUUAUGAAGUAAUCUGAGCAUUUUGUUGGUUGCAGGUUAACUUUGUUCUCCAAUAUAGGUGGCGUAUGUUUGUGCAAAAUGAUUAUGAAAGGACUUCUGGUAACUUUAUCUUUUGUCAAGGUUGUUUACUUGGUGGAGCAAACUUCCAUUUCCUCUGAACAGGUGAACAUGACAUGUGUGAUGGCUGUCAGCCCUAAUGAGCUUUAGACAUGUAUCUGAGGUUUCGUUGGCUGUAAACAAGUAGGGUCAACGAGUCGAGCAGAUCCUGGACCAUCACAUGAACACAUGAAAUAGGUUGAGACCGGCAGCUUUUGGUAACCAGUCUAAGCUCUAGCACCUUGAUGCAAGCCAGAAUAGCCUCACUGGAUCAACAUUCCCGGGAAUAACAGAAUUGGUGAACCAGUUGACACUUGAUCUUAA